rnacentral:snRNA from 1 species
AUGCCUUCGGGUAGGAUGAUUCAAUAUCAUCUGUUCUUAUCAGUUUAAUAUCUGAUACGUCCCCUAUCUGGGGACCAUAUAUUAAAUGGAUUUUUAGAACAGGGAGAUGGAAGAAGAGCUUGCUCUGUCCACUCCACGCAUCGACCUGGUAUUGCAGUACCUCUAGAACCGGUGCACGUCUC